rnacentral:snoRNA from 1 species
UCCUGAUGAAACCCAAGCUGGCACCAGUCAUAGAGUGACUUGUACUCCCUUCCUUGAUGACCAAAUUUGCUGGGUCUUAGACCCUUUCUGAU